rnacentral:lncRNA from 1 species
AGUCUUGCUACGUAUUCAAAAUCAUGUGUUGCAAUUAUUUUAGGCACAUUCCUCUAAAAAAGAAGGGUAUUUAAGUGUUUUGUUUCCCUCUAUGAUUGGUUUUCAUGUUUUGUAUGACCAUGUUGUCUUUUGAUACAGGGAUAUUUCUGCUCUGAGCUUUGAGUCUGCUUGUUAUGAGCGGUAAUUGCCUCUACUUUAUUUUGUGUUAUAUAUUUUAAUGUUCUUAUAGGAGCAAAACAGAAAUAAAAGAGCCCACAGGUGUAUUUAUACCUUUUCCACAAAUGUCUUUCCUACAUACACAUGCCAAUGUUCAGGCCCCUGUUCAGGCCCCAAUUAACCGAAAUUCUGUAUUUUUAAAACUAAUCCACAAACCUUAACUAGAAUACUUCCGUUUUCAUCAGCUUUUUGUGCAGCUUUUAGGCUGGAAUCCCAACUUGAUUUGUGUGCAUAACUUGAUGAACACAGAUCUCAAGUUAGGAUUUGGCCCUCGUAUGCUAAAUUUAGUUCAAACCAAAUAAGUAAAAGACAACACAAAAAAUAUCUAUUUUUGUGUGCUUUUUUUUACUGACACUAACUGAUGUUUGUGAUGUUUUUCCCCACAAUGAUGUUUCCUGUGGUGGCUGAGAGCGAGACAGAGUCCAGCACCUUCUCCAGCCUGGGCUCCACUUUCAGAGACAAGACCUCCACAAAGCCACUUAUCAAGGUGCUGCCACUUUAGAGAAGAAACUCACAAGGAACCUCAUCUGGACAAAGGUUUCUGUUCUGGAGAUAGACAACAGUAUUCAAAUCUUCUGAGAUUGCUACUUGAGGCUUCUCCCAAUCUGGGCUAGGCUCAAGGGAGGGUGCAGAUUGGGACGAGCCAAUCAGUUUUGGCAGAUUUUUUAUUCUGUUUUCUGGAAGCAGAAAGAAGCCCUGCUGUGUAUGAUGUAAUUUUAGGUAAGUCAGAAGUUAUUUUCCCUCUCUUGGUUUCAUCAGUCUCCUUUUUCUGCUUUGGUGCCCAUGUAAGACUAAAGGCCAGAGAGAUGUUCAACAAUGGGCCCUGUGGAUAUUUCUCAGAACAUUUUAAAACAUAUGUAACACUUUUGUCCAUGUACUUAACUUUAUUUGUGUAAUCCAACCCUAAUAAUUGGACACCACUUUUUCCAAUAUAUGAUAAAACAUCUAUGUAUAUUUUGUCUGCUGUUGAGAACAUAACUUGUAUUCAUUUUCACGUGUGUUUUAAUAUAAUAAACAUGUCUGUGAAAAAU